rnacentral:rRNA from 1 species
GACGAACGCUGGCGGCGUGCCUAAUACAUGCAAGUCGAACGGUCUUUUCUAUGGAAGCUUGCUUCCACUGAGAAGAUAGUGGCGAACGGGUGAGUAACACGUGGGUAACCUGCCCAUAAGAGGGGGAUAACAUCCGGAAACGGGUGCUAAUACCGCAUAGUUUUCUUGAUCGCAUGAUUGAGAAAGGAAAGACGGCCUUUGUGCUGUCGCUUAUGGAUGGACCCGCGGCGUAUUAGUUAGUUGGUGAGGUAACGGCUCACCAAGACGAUGAUACGUAGCCGACCUGAGAGGGUGAUCGGCCACAUUGGGACUGAGACAUGGCCCAAACUCCUACGGGAGGCAGCAGUAGGGAAUCUUCCGCAAUGGACGAAAGUCUGACGGAGCAACGCCGCGUGAGUGAAGAAGGUUUUCGGAUCGUAAAACUCUGUUGUCAGAGAAGAACAAGUUGGAGAGUAACUGCUCCAGCCUUGACGGUAUCUGACCAGAAA